GUUGAAUCCUCGGACACUAUAGAAAAUGUUAAGGCCAAGAUCCAGGAUAAGGAAGGAAUUCCUUCUCUCAGCAGAGGCUGAUCUUUGCUGGCAAGCAGCUGAAAGAUGGCCAUACUUUGACUGUAACAUUCAAAAGGUGUGCUGAGACUUCAUGGUGGUCCUGAGAAAAGGAUAAAGGGUUAUAGCACUGCCAAGAAGAAUAAGAAUAAGAAGGUUAAGUUGGCUGUGCUGAAAUACUAUAAAGUGGAUGAAAAUGUCCUCCUGAUCAACAUGGGGCUAGAGUGUUCAUGGCUAGUUACCUUGACAGACAUUACUGUGGUGAGUGUUGCCUGCCUUACUGCUUCAACAAUCCAGAAGACAAGUAG
rnacentral:lncRNA from 1 species